UGUGAAGUUGAGAUAAUUUUCAGCAUGUCUUGAGUCAUCUACACCAAAUUACGAUCAAGUUAUCAGUAAAAAGUAUAAAAUAUUUACUAAUUUCAAAAUGAAACUCUAAAUUUUGUAUUAUCUAACAUUAAGUAUUCAAGUUUUUGUAAAUCUAACCAUAAAAUAUGAUUCUAUUUUAGCUAAACAUAUCAAGAAUUAUGAUACACAAUUAAUUAAAUGGGGAAAACAACUGCUUAAAUGGCGAAACCAACUGCUUAAAUGGUCACAACAACGGGGGUAGUAGCUUUGGAUGGUUUGCAACUAGUUUGUCUGACACUAGUUUCUUCACUUAAGGCUUAGCUAUGGUUCAUAAGCUCCAAGAAAUGGUGUUCACAAAACUCAUAAAAGGCAAAACCAACUGCUUAAAUGGCCACAAAAACGGGACUAGUAGCUUUGGAUGGUUCGCAACUAGUUUGUCUGACACUAGUUUCUUCUCUUAAAGACUUGGGAUUAGCUAUGCUUGAUAGGAUCCAAGAAAUGGUGUUCAGAAAACUCAUAAAAGGCAAAAACAACUGUUUAAAUGGUCACAACAACGGGGGUAGUUGGAUUGGGUCUUGCAUUAUAAUUAGCAAUUGUGUGUAUCCUUCAUGAUAA
rnacentral:lncRNA from 1 species